rnacentral:tRNA from 1 species
GCGGAAGUGGCGAAAUGGCAGACGCGCAUGCCUCAGGAGCAUGUGGGGGCAACCCCUUGGAGGUUCAAGUCCUCUCUUCCGCA